GUCCCUUUUCAAAAGUCUUCCAACUGUUUCCCUGAUUUCGCUAGUUAAUCUUUUAUAUUUUUGUUACGUUUAUAUGCUAUAAUAGACACUUGAGUAAAACUUUCACUGCAUUCUUUUACAGAUUGUUCCAAUGUUUUCUUAUAAUUUUAAUAAAGUUUUUCACCAUUUGGUUAUAUUUUGUAAUAAGUGUAAGUGGGUAUUUUUCUUGUUCUUG
rnacentral:lncRNA from 1 species